rnacentral:snoRNA from 1 species
UGCAGCCAUGUCAAAUUCGGUGCCUGCCCCAUCCAUGGCAGACACUGGCCCCGCCCCCCCCCCCCCCCAAAAAAAAAUA